CACUCCGAGGAGCGUUGCAACGGAUGGAGGCCUGCGAAGCACAUCGCGCGGCCGGCGGCACAGCCGCCCCAUGCCAUCCGCCAGGCUCGGACUGUCUUCAACGGCGCUCGCUGAUC
rnacentral:ncRNA from 3 species